rnacentral:lncRNA from 1 species
CACUCGGAGGGCGGCGGAGUGAUCGUCAACAACACUGAAAACAUCCUAAUGUCCUAUGAUCAUGUGGAGCUUACAUUCAACGACAUGAAGAACGUGCCAGAGGCCUUCAAAGGGACCAACAAAGGCACCAUCUACCGUACUCCGAACUGGGUAAUCUUUCUGUCUAAGGGGAAGGACACCACGCAGUCCUUCAUGAUGCCCUUUUUACCCGAUGAAGGACUGUGAGAUCAAGCAGCAAGGGUUCGGUGAGAACUUCAUUAAGGGAACAGUGAAAGCUGAAGCAAGAGGUGGUUGGGAAGGCUCCGCCUCCUACAAGCUGACCUUCGCAGCAGGGAGCACUAUUGAGUUUGGGCAGCAGAUUCUCCAGGUGGCAUCUCAAGCUGAAAGA